rnacentral:misc_RNA from 1 species
GUGAGUCAUCGAAUCUUUGAACGCACAUUGCGCCUCCUCUUACAGGGAGGCAUGCCUGUCUGAGCGUCAUUUAAACCAAUAAACCCUUAUGGGUUUGUGCUGGGCCUCGUCUCUUUGCCUUAGACGUCGCCUCAAAGUCAUCGGUCUUAUGAGCGGAUGAGUUCCUUUAGGAUGGACCGUUCUGUGACCCUAAAUCUCUGACUUGACCUCAGAUCAGGUAGGACUACCGCCUGAACUUAAGCAUAUCAAUAAGCGGAGGA